rnacentral:rRNA from 1 species
UACGUAGGGUGCAAGCGUUAAUCGGAAUUACUGGGCGUAAAGCGUGCGCAGGCGGUUUUGUAAGUCUGUCGUGAAAUCCCCGGGCUCAACCUGGGAAUUGCGAUGGAGACUGCAAGGCUAGAAUCUGGCAGAGGGGGUAGAAUUCCACGUGUAGCAGUGAAAUGCGUAGAGAUGUGGAGGAACACCGAUGGCGAAGGCAGCCCCCUGGGUCAAGACUUGACGCUCAUGCGACGAAAGCGUGGGGAGCAAACAGGAUU